rnacentral:rRNA from 1 species
ACAUGCAAGUCGAGGGGCAGCAUAGAGUAGCAAUACUUGAUGGCGACCGGCGCACGGGUGAGUAACACGUAUGCAACCUACCUACAUCAGGGGAAGUAACCCGGAGAAAUUCGGACUAAUACCGCAUAAUACAGGGAUGCCGGCAUGGCAAUAUUUGUUAAAGAUUUAUCGGAUGUAGAUGGGCAUGCGUUCCAUUUAGCUAAGUUGGUGAGGUAACGGCUCACCAAGGCAACGAUGGAUAGGGGAACUGAGAGGUUUGUCCCCCACACUGGAACUGAGACACGGACCAGACUCCUACGGGAGGCAGCAGGUGAGGAAUAUUGGUCGAAUGGACGAGAGUCUGAACCAGCCAAAUCGCGUGAAGGAAGUAACUGCCCUACGGGUUGUAAACUUCUUUUGUACAGGAAUAAAAGACAUUACGUGUAAUGUAUUGCAUGUACUGUACGAAUAAGCAUCGGCUAACUCCGUGCCAGCAGCUGC